AAGGAGCACCACGAAAAGCACUCCAAUUGGUGGGGUGCGAGCCGUGAGGGGUUCUCGCCUGUAGUGGGCGGGAGCCGGGUGCGCAACAGCAAAUGAUUGCCAGACACACUAUUGGGCCCUGAGACAACACUCGGCUCGUUCUGAGUGGUGUCCCUCCAUCUUGGUGGUGGGGUGUGGUGUUUGAGUAUUGGAUAGUGGUUGCGAGCAUCUAGACGGAUGCGUUGCCGGCAACGGUGGCGUGUUCGUUGAAAU
rnacentral:misc_RNA from 1 species